rnacentral:rRNA from 1 species
GGACCCGCACAAGUAGUGGAGCAUGUGGUUUAAUUCGAAGAUACGCGCAGAACCUUACCAACACUUGACAUGUUUGUCGCGACUUUGAGAGAUCAAAGUUUUCGGUUCGGCCGGACGAAACACAGGUGCUGCAUGGCUGUCGUCAGCUCGUGUCGUGAGAUGUUGGGUUAAGUCCCGCAACGAGCGCAACCCUCACUUUUAGUUGCCAUCAUUAAGUUGGGCACUCUGAAAGAACUGCCAGUGAUAAGCUGGAGGAAGGUGGGGAUGACGUCAAGUCCUCAUGGCCCUUACGUGUUGGGCUACACACGUGCUACAAUGGUAUCUACAACAGGAAGCAAGACUGCGAAGUUAAGCAAAUCCUUAAAAGAUACCUCAGUUCGGAUUGCACUCUGCAACUCGAGUGCAUGAAGCUGGAAUUACUAG